UUGUUCUGAUUUGGGUGAAUCUGAGGCUAGACAAGAGGGUUGCCUCCAGAAUUUGGAUUCAGGGUGUGAAUGCAGCAUAAUGAUGGUAGGAGGGUGCCUGUUCAUGUGCUUCCCCAGAGUUUUUGUGUGUGUGUGUGUGUGUGUUGAUGUUGAUGAUGAUAGGUGUGUUUUUGUAGGAUGAUGCAGAAGUCCUCGUCUCUUGAUUAUAUGUUUUGUUAGUUUCUGUGAUGUGUAGCACAUGAUGGACACUUGUUAGGAUGUAUUUUGUCGAGAAGCAAGCACCUAUCAAUAUUUUAAGCUCCAAGGAAUAACAUUUUCAUGGAGCCAUUCAGACUGUUUGUUGUAUGGUUCUGCGUGCGUGCGUGCCUGCACAAAAUGUUAAUAUAUAAUGGAGCCCAUACCGAUGUAAUAAUGGUCCAGAUACUCGGCUUUUCCUCUUUGUGCUGUUCAUGAAUAAUAAUGUUUAGAAUUCACAUUUGUUCUGCGUGCGUGCCCAUACCGACGUAACCAAAAGAACAGUCUGAAGUUUCUGUAAUGUGUUUAUUCGUAUUCAUAAUGUGAAUUGUUUGAGCUCAACAUUGAACUAGUUUGGCUCACACCACGACAUUUUUUUCUUUUUCAGUUUAAGCUCAAAAUUUGCUAUGUCUCUUGUCCUUCUUCUGCAGAAGUAUUCCAUCGGUACAGCAGAGAGAGGACAAGGGGCUCAUCAAGGCACGCGGUGCUAGGCACUUCCAUUCGACGGCCCCACUGCUUGUUCGACAUCCUAUUUCAAAACAGCCGUGGUGAGCUCUUGGUAUGACUCAGGAAUUUUCCUUCUUCAGUAUGUUAGAAGUACAAAGGUCUCGGAUUGGAGGGGUUCUCUAAUGAUGAUUUACAAGCUCUACGUCAAAAUUCCUUUUUGAGAUUGUAACUUGCAAGGACAAUGAAAUUCAGCUGCCGUUAGUAACUUCUUUCCUGCAGAGACAUGGUCUCAUUAAUACCGUCACCUUCAAAGGAAGUUGCACUGCAAGAUUCAACUCAAAGGAAUACUUCCAUGGGAAAAAUGUUUCCUUAUCGAUAGAGCUAUCUUUUUUCUCUUGUUGGUCUAGUGAUAGUUUCUUCCAAGACCUUCAGCUGUAAACAAUGUCCGAAAACAGUUGAAGCAGUUUUGUAAACGAGCAGUAAGACAUGUACAUUUUUUUGUCUUUCAUGACGCCUUGGUGAUACUAUCAUCACUCAAUUUCAUCAA